rnacentral:rRNA from 1 species
GGAAACGGCGAAUAAUCCCGCAUACGACUAUUAAUACACAUGUAUAAAUAGUGAAAGGCUUCGGGAUCCGGUCGGUAAAAGAUGGUUGUGCCCAUUAGCUAGAUGGUAAGGUAACGGCUUACCAUGGGACGAUGGGACACUAGGGGGCGUGAGAGCGUGAUCCCCCACACGGGUACUGAGACACGGACCCGACUCCUACGGGAGGCAGCAGUAAGGAAUAUUGGUCAAUGGAGGGUCUGAACCAGCCAUGCCGCGUGUGUGAUGAAUGCCCUUUGGGGUGUUGUAAAGCACUUUUAUCUGGGAAGAAUGACAGGGAUUAAUCCUUGGAGAGACGGUACCAGAAGAAUAAGCACCGGCUAACUCCGUGCCAGCAGCCGCGGUAAUACGGAGGGUGCAAGCGUUAUCCGGAAUCACUGGGUUUAAAGGGUACGUAGGCGGUUUUAUAAGUCAGACGUCAAAGGCUGUAGCUAAACUAUGGUACGCGUUUGAAACUGUAAGACUUGAAUAUGUUCGAUGCAUGGAAUGCUUCAUGUAGCGGUGAAAUGCAUAGAUAUGAAGAAUAGAACACCAAUUGCGAAGGCAGUGCACUAGGGCAUUAUUGACGCUGAGGUACGAAAGCGUGGGUAGCGAACAGGAUUAGAUACCCUGGUAGUCCACGCCCUAAACGAUGCUAACUGGUCAUUUAUCGGAAUAGAUAAGUGACUGAGGGAAACCAUUAAGUUAGCCACCUGGGGAGUACGUUCGCAAGAAUGAAACUCAAAGGAAUUGACGGGGGUCCGCACAAGCGGUGGAGUGUGGUUUAAUUCGAUGAUACGCGAGGAACCUUACCUGGGCUCGAUGACGCUACUAGACCGAUCCGAUCCGAAAGGGGUCUUCUCUUCGGAGCUGGUAGUGAGGUGCUGCAUGGUUGCAGCUCGUGCCGUGAGGUGUUGGGUUAAGUCCCGCAACGAGCGCAACCCCUAUCCUUAGUUGCCAACAUGUAAUGGUGGGGACUCUAGUCAGGGAGACUGCCUCCGUAAGGAGUAGGAAGGAACGUCAAAUCAUCUGGCCUUUAUGCCCAGGGCUACACACGUGCUACAAUGGUGGAUC